GCAGAACUUUUCGAAAGUAAUUAAACAUAAAGAUGGCUAAAAGUACAAUAUUGCUCCUUGUGACAGCAAUGGCAUUGAUGGUGCUGGUGUCAAGCUCUCCAUCAGCAUUGCCCGAAAUAACUGCUGAAACCAAGAAAAUAAACAAAAUUCGUUUGUUCCGACGUCAAGUCGGGUGUUGCUGUCCUAGAUGUACCUUUGGGUGUACUUGCUGCUGUACUAUGCAAUAGAUUUUGUUCAAAUGAACUAAAAUCUAAUUUUUCGAACGAAGUGAUAUUAUUAUAUUUGUAUAAAUGAUAUACACAUA